GGAGGAGAGUUUGUCAGGCUGCAUGUAAUGCCUGUGUUCUUUUGACAGAAAGAGAGUUUGAUCCUGACAUCCACUGUGGGGUUAUUGAUCUCGACACCAAGAAGCCCUGCACCCGGUCUCUGACAUGCAAGACACAUUCCUUAACCCAGCGCAGGGCUGUCCAGGGUAGAAGAAAACGAUUUGAUGUGUUAUUAGCCGAGCACAAAAACAAAACCAGGGAAAAGGAAUUGAUUCGCCAUCCGGACUCUCAGCAACCACCGCAGCCUCUCAGGGACCCGCAUCCCGCCCCUCCUAGAACGUCACAGGAGCCGCACCAAAAUCCUCAUGGAGUGAUUCCUUCCGAAUCAAAGCCUUUUGUAGCUAGUAAACCUAAACCUCACACCCCCAGUCUUCCAAGGUAAGCCAAACCCUCCAACUCUUUCUCCCACCUUCAGAGAUGAGACUUGCAGAUACUGUAAAAUCUCAGUAUGGUCAUGAUGUUGAGAAACAUAUCUCAGGCUCACUGUGGAGAUAGUUUUUUAAGGGAGUUUUACUAUG
rnacentral:sRNA from 1 species